rnacentral:rRNA from 1 species
GGAGUUAGCCGGUGCUUCUUCUGCGAGUAACGUCACAGAUGUAAGGUAUUAACUUACACCCUUUCCUCCUCGCUGAAAGUGCUUUACAACCCGAAGGCCUUCUUCACACACGCGGCAUGGCUGCAUCAGGGUUUCCCCCAUUGUGCAAUAUUCCCCACUGCUGCCUCCCGUAGGAGUCUGGGCCGUGUCUCAGUCCCAGUGUGGCUGAUCAUCCUCUCAGACCAGCUAGGGAUCGUCGCCUAGGUGAGCCUUUACCUCACCUACUAGCUAAUCCCACCUGGGCUUAUCCAUCAGCGCAAGGCCCGAAGGUCCCCUGCUUUCCCCCGUAGGGCGUAUGCGGUAUUAGCAGUCGUUUCCAACUGUUAUCCCCCACAAAUGGGCAAAUUCCCAGGCAUUACUCACCCGUCCGCCGCUCGUCAUCUUCAAAAGCAAGCUUUUGAAAUGUUACCGCUCGACUUGCAUGUGUUAGGCCUGCCGCCAGCGUUCAAUCUGAGCCAGGAAUCGAAACCCUGA